rnacentral:rRNA from 1 species
CACUGCUAUCGGGGUUCGAUUAAGCCAUGCGAGCCGAGAGGGUUCAGACCCUCGGCGCACUGCUCAGUAACACGUGGAUAACCUACCCUGAGGAGGGGGAUAACCCCGGGAAACUGGGGAUAAUACCUCAUAGGUUUCAGAUGCUGGAAUGCUCUGAAACCGAAAUGCUCCGGCGCCUCAGGAUGGAUCUGCGGCCGAUUAGGUUGUUGUUGGGGUAACGGCCCAACAAGCCCGUCAUCGGUACGGGUUGUGAGAGCAAGAGCCCGGAGAUGGAUUCUGAGACACCAAUCCAGGCCCUACGGGGCGCAGCAGGCGCGAAACCUUUACAAUGCGAGCAAUCGUGAUAAGGGAACCCCGAGUGCCUGAAACCAGGCUGUUCAGGUGUUUAAAAAGCACCUGGAGAAAGGGCCGGGCAAGACCGGUGCCAGCCGCCGCGGUAAUACCGGCGGCUCGAGUGGUGGCCGCUAUUAUUGGGCUUAAAGCGUUCGUAGCUGGGUUGUUAAGUCUCUUGGGAAAUCUCACGGCUCAACCGUGAGGCGACUAAGAGAUACUGGCAAUC